rnacentral:rRNA from 1 species
GAUGGUUGUUUAACGUGAGUUUUUUUCUGGGAGGGUUAAAUAAACAUGCAGUAACUGUGGGUUGUAGUUUAAAAAUUUAUGGUUUAGUUUACCUGCGUGAGAAGUAAAAUUUGUGCCAGCAUCUGCGGUUAUACUUGUUCUCUUUGGAAUAUUAUAGGCAGGCUACUAGGUCUUAAGAAGGGUGAUUUUUGGUGAAAUAAGAAAUUUAUCGAGGGGGUGAAAUAAGGUCAGGUUUGUCAAUAACCAGGAUUAGAGACCCUGCUAUCUAAGUGUAACACCUAAGGAUUAAGUUUGCAAAUAAUAUGGUUUGGCGGCUAGCUAGUCUUAGAGGGGCUUGCACAUAGUCGAUGAGCCUCGUUUUGGUUUCACCUGUGUAAUUUUUGUACACCGUCAUUUAGGUAAUUUUAAAAGGAAAAUUAGGGAUGCUAGUGAGUAAAGCUAGAUCAAGGUGCAGAGUAGGCAGGUAAUGUUAGUCACAAUAUUUACUAAUAUAUAGAAUGUGAAUUAGCCUCGCUAAUAAGUGGAUUUAAUAGUAAUUUAUUUUAUAGGUAUGAUUCACUGUAGCGAGUGUACAAAUUGCCCGUCAGUCUCUUAGAGACAAGUCGAAACAAAGUAAAAAAACCGGAAGGUUUUUUUA